rnacentral:rRNA from 1 species
GAUGACGCUGGCGGCGUGCCUAAUACAUGCAAGUCGAGCGAACGGACGAGAAGCUUGCUUCUCUGAUGUUAGCGGCGGACGGGUGAGUAACACGUGGAUAACCUACCUAUAAGACUGGGAUAACUUCGGGAAACCGGAGCUAAUACCGGAUAAUAUUUUGAACCGCAUGGUUCAAAAGUGAAAGACGGUCUUGCUGUCACUUAUAGAUGGAUCCGCGCUGCAUUAGCUAGUUGGUAAGGUAACGGCUUACCAAGGCAACGAUGCAUAGCCGACCUGAGAGGGUGAUCGGCCACACUGGAACUGAGACACGGUCCAGACUCCUACGGGAGGCAGCAGUAGGGAAUCUUCCGCAAUGGGCGAAAGCCUGACGGAGCAACGCCGCGUGAGUGAUGAAGGUCUUCGGAUCGUAAAACUCUGUUAUUAGGGAAGAACAUAUGUGUAAGUAACUGUGCACAUCUUGACGGUACCUAAUCAGAAAGCCACGGCUAACUACGUGCCAGCAGCCGCGGUAAUACGUAGGUGGCAAGCGUUAUCCGGAAUUAUUGGGCGUAAAGCGCGCGUAGGCGGUUUUUUAAGUCUGAUGUGAAAGCCCACGGCUCAACCGUGGAGGGUCAUUGGAAACUGGAAAACUUGAGUGCAGAAGAGGAAAGUGGAAUUCCAUGUGUAGCGGUGAAAUGCGCAGAGAUAUGGAGGAACACCAGUGGCGAAGGCGACUUUCUGGUCUGUAACUGACGCUGAUGUGCGAAAGCGUGGGGAUCAAACAGGAUUAGAUACCCUGGUAGUCCACGCCGUAAACGAUGAGUGCUAAGUGUUAGGGGGUUUCCGCCCCUUAGUGCUGCAGCUAACGCAUUAAGCACUCCGCCUGGGGAGUACGACCGCAAGGUUGAAACUCAAAGGAAUUGACGGGGACCCGCACAAGCGGUGGAACAUGUGGUUUAAUUCGAAGCAACGCGAAGAACCUUACCAAAUCUUGACAUCCUUUGACAACUCUAGAGAUAGAGCUUUCCCCUUCGGGGGACAAAGUGACAGGUGGUGCAUGGUUGUCGUCAGCUCGUGUCGUGAGAUGUUGGGUUAAGUCCCGCAACGAGCGCAACCCUUAAGCUUAGUUGCCAUCAUUAAGUUGGGCACUCUAAGUUGACUGCCGGUGACAAACCGGAGGAAGGUGGGGAUGACGUCAAAUCAUCAUGCCCCUUAUGAUUUGGGCUACACACGUGCUACAAUGGACAAUACAAAGGGCAGCGAAACCGCGAGGUCAAGCAAAUCCCAUAAAGUUGUUCUCAGUUCGGAUUGUAGUCUGCAACUCGACUACAUGAAGCUGGAAUCGCUAGUAAUCGUAGAUCAGCAUGCUACGGUGAAUACGUUCCCGGGUCUUGUACACACCGCCCGUCACACCACGAGAGUUUGUAACACCCGAAGCCGGUGGAGUAACCUUUUAGGAGCUAGCCGUCGAAGGUGGGACAAAUGAUG